GCAGUUGAGAUGAAGCGCCGAAUGAGAAAACAGACUCUUCAAGUUAUGUAAAGCUAGAAAGCCAAAUCUUUUGUCAAUGCAACAUGAAGAAGAGCCAGAAUGAGAAACACAGGUGCAAGCAGGUGAACAGAUCAGGAACUCCCAGAAAGGAAAAACUCCACCGCAGUCCCACAGUGACACCUGGUGGCUACGAGGCAGCCACUGCAGAUGCCCUCGAGGAGUCACACAGUCGUCCUUGAUCUCUUCAAAACCAUUCCCCUUCCUGUUUCCACAGCACUAUUACAGACAAACACACUCCGUCAGUUCUUUUGUAUUCUGUCAAAUAACUGCUGGACCUUGAAAGCAAAUACAGUGAUGAGUGGAAGGCUCGCAACCUUCAGGACAGACAACUACGACAGGCAAUUUAAGGACAGUCAGUUUAUUGAACAGUAAAUUGUGACACAGAACAAAUUUUUUUUUCUUUUCCAUUGCAUUGCAGACAAAUGUUAACAGACAACUGUGCCUUUCACCACACUACCUCACAAACAGCCUCUGUGAUAGAGACGCCUAGCAGAUCGAAGGCAGGGGUCCUUGUUUUUUAAAGUGCUUUAUUGCACAGUUCCUCUUGGAGGAAGAGAACAAGGGCUGCAAGGUGAGCCCAGAGUCUGAACGGCCUCUGAGCUUCAUGGGUGCAAUAAUAAUACUCUGUAUGCGUGUGUGUGCGAGUGUGAUGCUGUGAUUACUUGGUUGUAUUCAGUGCCUCCUCUCUUAACACGCGAGUGUGUGUGGCUACUUAUUGCAUAACAGUAAGCUGGCUCAUGAAUUUUUUAGUGAAAGUGUAAAGCACAAAUCUUUAGAUUAAAAUAUUAUAAACUCUUCACAAUAAUAAUGAUACAUCUCAUAAUAUCUAAGUUACAUUCUUAUAUUUGAUUCAUAUAGAUUAUGUAGGCGAUAUACAUCUUGUGGCUCACUGCUUAUAGCUAACAUAGUGGACACUAUCAUGUGGGUCUUUGUCUCAGCCCUCUAGGUUUACAGACAGAUAAAUACACAGUGCUGGUCAGAUGUUUGCAUACACUCUGGAUAAUUUGGGUUCGCUUUCUGAUUAAUUGAAGCUAAUCUUUACACAUGGAGGAAUAAUUAUACAGCUUUAAAUUAUUUUAAAAACAGAAAUGGGGUUGCAAGUUUGAAUUUAUCAUGGAUUUUUUUUCUAGCCCCCAAAGGGUCAAAAAAUGUA